rnacentral:rRNA from 1 species
CCUACGGGGGGCAGCAGUGAGGAAUAUUGGUCAAUGGCCGUAAGGCUGAACCAGCCAAGUAGCGUGAGGGAAGACUGCCCUAUGGGUUGUAUACCUCUUUUAUGCGGGGAUAAAGGUGUCCACGUGUGGAUGUUUGCAGGUACCGCAUGAAUAAGGACCGGCUAAUUCCGUGCCAGCAGCCGCGGUAAUACGGAAGGUCCGGGCGUUACCCGGAUUUAUUGGGUUUAAAGGGAGCGUAGGCGGGUCUUUAAGCGUGCCGUGAAAUUUUGUGGCUCAACCAUGGGAGUGCGGCGCGAACUGGAGACCUGGAGUGCGCGGAAGGCAGGCGGAAUUCGUGGUGUAGCAGUGAAAUGCUUAGAUAUCAGGAGGAACCCCGGUUGCGAAGGCAGCCAGCCGCAGCGUUACUGACGCUGAAGCUCGAAAGCGCGGGUAGCGAACAGGAUUAGAUACCCGAGUAGUC